rnacentral:rRNA from 1 species
GUGAGGAAUAUUGGACAAUGGGUGAGAGCCUGAUCCAGCCAUCCCGCGUGAAGGAUGACGGCCCUAUGGGUUGUAAACUUCUUUUGUACAGGGAUAAACCUAUCUACGUGUAGAUAGCUGAAGGUACUGUACGAAUAAGCACCGGCUAACUCCGUGCCAGCAGCCGCGGUAAUACGGAGGGUGCAAGCGUUAUCCGGAUUUAUUGGGUUUAAAGGGUCCGUAGGCGGAUCUGUAAGUCAGUGGUGAAAUCUCGCAGCUUAACUGCGAAACUGCCAUUGAUACUGCAGAUCUUGAGUAAAUUUGAAGUGGCUGGAAUAAGUAGUGUAGCGGUGAAAUGCAUAGAUAUUACUUAGAACACCAAUUGCGAAGGCAGGUCACUAAGAUUUAACUGACGCUGAGGGACGAAAGCGUGGGGAGCGAACAGGAUUAGAAACCCUUGUAGUCC